AUGGAAACGGAGGAGAUUCUCGUCCGACGACCCAACAUUACAAAUUAAACAUUAGGGAUUUUUAGGUAAUUGUUUUUUCACCGCGUGUGAAGCCACCUCGGUUCCCUGCUUGCACUGGAGGAUAAUUACUUCAAAUAUUAUCAUGGAGAUUCAAGAUUCCUUCGAUGUGGAAUAUUUGUUAAAGCUGGUCGAUAAUCGCCUUAAGUGCUUUUUUGGCACACUGGGCUACUAGUAGCAGACAUGGUCCUCUUUUCAGACAGCAGUGUUCUUCGCCUACGCGCUGUUACGACAUUUCCAUAUACCAAUGGAGACAGUAUUCCCGAAAGAAUGGAAGGACUCGUAUUCAACUACCAAUAAAAAGCCAACAAGGUAUCCUUAUUCCAGAAAAAAAAUCGCUGGCAAUCAAUCACCCAUUGAAAUAUACAGGACUUCAAACACGCAUACAGGCCUGUACAUAUUUGGAGCUAAGAUUGGGGGUUUUCGGGGUGUUUCGGAAGCUUUGUGAUGACAAAUAAAGGCGCUGCCUUAAGAUACGA